rnacentral:rRNA from 1 species
GACGAACGCUGGCGGCGUGCUUAACACAUGCAAGUCGAACGAUGAAGCCGGAGCUUGCUCUGGUGAAUUAGUGGCGAACGGGUGAGUAACACGUGAGUAACCUGCCCUUGACUCUGGGAUAACUGCGGGAGACUGUAGCUAAUACCGGAUACGACCCUCGGAGGCAUCUCCUGGGGGUGGAAAGAAUUUCGGUGAAGGAUGGACUCGGGCCGUAUCAGCUAGUUGGUGAGGUAAAGCCUCACCAGGGCGACGACGGUUAGCCGGCCUGGGAGGGUGCCCGGCCACACUGGGACUGGACCACGGCCCAGACUCAUACGGGAGGAAGCAGUGGGGAAUAUUGCACAAUGGGCGCAAGCCUGACGCAGCAACGCCGCGUGAGGGAUGACGGCCUUCGGGUUGUAACCCUCUUUUAGCAGGGAAGAAGCGAAAGUGACGGUACCUGCAGAAAAAGCACCGGCUAACUACGUGCCAGCAGCCGCCGUAA